GGUUGUGUGCCCACGUUUAGCAGCGUGCUGGGGUGCUGUAUAAAUUCUAAAAUGCCACUUUUUGGAGGGCAUGCGUUCCGUCCUUAAUCUCAUUCCUGGCCCUCGGGCCAGGGUUAUUUUGGGAGGUCCAUGGCGCCUGCGGUAGCCUUCUACCCCCAACCCAAUCCCCUCUCCACCCCACCUCACCCCUCCCUUAGACAAGGAUGGGACCGUGUAAGAACUACUACUGGGUUUCAGCCAUGUCUCUGGCAGCCUCGUAGCCUGGAGACUAAAGUCGCUGAGUUUGGAAUCGCACAGUCCUGGUCUGGAAUCCUAACUCAGCCAUUUACUCAACAUGUGAUCUUGUGGGCAAGUCACUUAACCUAUGUGGGCCCUGUAGGGAUAGUAAUAACAAUAUCUCUCUUUUAGGUUGUUGAGAGGAUUAACUGAGUUGUAUGCAGACCACCUGGUAUAUAGUGAGCAUUUAGUAAAUCUUUACGGUGACGUUAUUUGUGAAAUGAGUGGUGUAAGGGUGGAUACAAAUUAGAAGAAAAAG
rnacentral:lncRNA from 1 species